AAAAUAUGGUUUUGGUCUUGUUUGGUUGGUACUUCUAAUUGGUGUUUCUAGCUCACAGCUGAUUACCGAUUUCUAUACUCUCAAAUGAAUUCCAUGUUUUUUCAGGCCAAUAGCCUAUUCUAAAUAUACAUGACAUUUCAUAUAAUAUUAUUUAUAUAUUUCUAUGUAUGGAUUUUCAAUUGGACAAAUGUAUCAAUCCUUAUUUCAAUAAUAAUUUAAUUUUUUCAAGCCUGUGACGUGAUGUCCAUGGGGAUCCAUCUCGAUUUGAGUUGAAACUUACAUCGCCCCAUUGUUGUUAAUUCACUGAAUUAAUUAUCAACUAGGUUGUUUGCUGUUGAUAGUGCUGUCUCGCUGACAGCUUUUGGACAUGGUGCGGACGUUUAGAUGCUGCUUCUUUGAGGUAAUAACAGCAACGAUGGGAUGGCUUCCUUUUUCAACACUUUUCCUAGUUCCCAAUUUCAUAAGUUUGGCUCUCAAAUCUCUAACAAAGUCCUCAGGCAUGAAGUGGUCAGAGCAAAUAUAAGAAGUAAGUGGAUUGAAAUAAUUGUCUCUACAUUUGCAACGUUCGACCCACAGUUUAAAUGAAUUUUCACUUUUUGGAAACUAAACUAAACUAC